GAUGAACGCUGGCGGCGUGCCUAAUACAUGCAAGUCGAGCGAACGGACGAGAAGCUUGCUUCUCUGAUGUUAGCGGCGGACGUGUGAGUAACACGUGUAUAACCUACCUAUAAGACUGGGAUAACUUCGGGAAACGGGCGCUAAUACCGGAUAAUCUUUUGAUCCGCAUGGUUCAAAAGUGAAAGACGGUCUUGCUGUCACUUAUAGAUGGAUCCGCGCUGCAUUAGCUAGUUGUUAAGGUAACGGCCUACCAAGGCAACGAUGCAUAGACGACCUGAUAGGGUGAUAGGCCACACGGGAGGUGGGCCAGCGUCCAGAGUCCUACGGUAGGCAGCAGAAGGGAAUCGGACGCAAUAGGCGAAAGCAUGACGGAGCGGCGGGGAGUCAGAGAUGAAGGUGCCCGGAGCGUAAAGAUCGGUUAUUAGGGAAGAACAUAUGUGUAAGUAGAUGUGCAGAGCUUGACGGUAACUAAUAAGAAAGCCACGGCUAACUACGUG
rnacentral:rRNA from 1 species